rnacentral:lncRNA from 13 species
UAAGGUCAUUAUAUUUACUAAGAUGUACCAUGUAAAACUGAUAAUCAGUUAUUGCUUUAACCAGGAAAAACUGAAGAACCAUAUGGAACCACCCCAGGAGCAGGUGAAAGCAGGACCAGAUUAACUACACCUGGAAAAUCAGGCACCAUUGGAGUAACCACUGGCACAACUCUUACCCCUAGAAGUUCCAACAUAGGUAAGAACAAGCUGAGUGGAAUUUUCCCAUGGGGACUUCUUUCAAGACCUAUUUCCUCAGGUUUUGUUUAUAGGCAAGAUCAUCACUACAGUAAUCCAUAAUCCUUAAUGUCUUCCCAAUUGUGUCUUUUUUCUUUUUCUCAUCCUCAGAGGCCACAACUUCCUAGGAGGAAGUGGAAUUGCUGCAGGUGGAAUAGCUCCAGCUCAGCCUGCAGUUUUAAU